rnacentral:rRNA from 1 species
UACGAGUGGUGCAAGCGUUAUUCGGAAUCAUUGGGCGUAAAGGGUGCGUAGACGGCAUAUUAAGUCUGUAGUUAAAUCCCUCGGCUCAACCGAGGAUAUGCUGCGGAAACUGAUUUGCUAGAGGGUGAAAGAGAGAAGUGGAAUUCUCGGAGUAGCGGUAAAAUGCGUAGAUCUCGAGAGGAACACCGAUGGCGAAGGCAGCUUCUUGGUUCACACCUGACGUUGAGGCACGAAAGCGUGGGGAGCAAACAGG